rnacentral:rRNA from 1 species
GAUGAACGCUGGCGGCGUGCCUAAUACAUGCAAGUCGAGCGAACAGACGAGGAGCUUGCUCCUCUGACGUUAGCGGCGGACGGGUGAGUAACACGUGGAUAACCUACCUAUAAGACUGGGAUAACUUCGGGAAACCGGAGCUAAUACCGGAUAAUAUAUUGAACCGCAUGGUUCAAUAGUGAAAGACGGUUUUGCUGUCACUUAUAGAUGGAUCCGCGCCGCAUUAGCUAGUUGGUAAGGUAACGGCUUACCAAGGCAACGAUGCGUAGCCGACCUGAGAGGGGGAUCGGCCACACUAGAACUGAGACACGGUCCAGACUCCUACGGGAGGCAGCAGUAGGGAAUCUUCCGCAAUGGGCGAAAGCUUGACGGGGCAACGCCGCGUGAGUGAUGAAGGUCUUCGGAUCGUAAAACUCUGUUAUUAGGGAAGAACAAAUGUGUAAGUAACUAUGCACGUCUUGACGGUACCUAAUCAGAAAGCCACGGCUAACUACGUG